UACGGGGGGUGCAAGCGUUACCCGGAAUCACUGGGCGUAAAGGGCGUGUAGGCGGCUUGGUAAGUCUGGAUUUAAAGACCGAGGCUCAACCUCGGGAAUGGUCUGGAUACUGCUUGGCUAGACGACUGGAGGGGAGAGUGGAAUUCUCGGUGUAGCGGUGGAAUGCGUAGAUACCGAGAGGAACACCAGUGGCGAAGGCGGCUCUCUGGACAGUGCGUGACGCUGAGGCGCGAAAGUGUGGGGAGCGAACCGG
rnacentral:rRNA from 1 species